GGUUAAGCGACCAAGCGUACACGGUGGAUGCCCUGGCAGUCAGAGGCGAUGAAGGACGUGCUAAUCUGCGAAAAGCGCCGGUAAGGUGAUAUGAACCGUUAUAACCGGCGAUGUCCGAAUGGGGAAACCCAGUGUGACUCGUCACACUAUCAUUAACUGAAUCCAUAGGUUAAUGAGGCGAACCGGGGGAACUGAAACAUCUAAGUACCCCGAGGAAAAGAAAUCAACCGAGAUUCCCCCAGUAGCGGCGAGCGAACGGGGAGGAGCCCAGAGCCUGAAUCAGCAUGUGUGUUAGUGGAAGCGUCUGGAAAGGCGCGCGAUACAGGGUGAGAGCCCCGUACACAAAAGCGCAUAUGCUGUGAGCUCGAUGAGUAGGGCGGGACACGUGGUAUCCUGUCUGAAUAUGGGGGGACCAUCCUCCAAGGCUAAAUACUCCUGACUGACCGAUAGUGAACCAGUACCGUGAGGGAAAGGCGAAAAGAACCCCGGCGAGGGGAGUGAAACAGAACCUGAAACCGUGUACGUACAAGCAGUGGGAGCCCCACCACUAAGCCAGUGGUGAACUCCACAUACGCAUCCUUUGCGGAAGAUGCGGUUAACGGAGCGAAAGCGACGUUCAACCUCAGAAGAAGCAGAGGGGGCUUAGUGGUGGGGUGACUGCGUACCUUUUGUAUAAUGGGUCAGCGACUUAUAUUCUGUAGCAAGGUUAACCGCAUAGGGGAGCCGAAGGGAAACCGAGUCUUAACCGGGCGUUAAGUUGCAGGGUAUAGACCCGAAACCCGGUGAUCUAGCCAUGGGCAGGUUGAAGGUUGGGUAACACUAACUGGAGGACCGAACCGACUAAUGUUGAAAAAUUAGCGGAUGACCUGUGGCUGGGGGUGAAAGGCCAAUCAAACCGGGAGAUAGCUGGUUCUCCCCGAAAGCUAUUUAGGUAGCGCCUCGUGAAUUCAUCUCCGGGGGUAGAGCACUGUUUCGGCUAGGGGGCCAUCCCGGCUUACCAACCCGAUGCAAACUGCGAAUACCGGAGAAUGUUAUCACGGGAGACACACGGCGGGUGCUAACGUCCGUCGUGAAGAGGGAAACAACCCAGACCGCCAGCUAAGGUCCCAAAGUCAUGGUUAAGUGGGAAACGAUGUGGGAAGGCCCAGACAGCCAGGAUGUUGGCUUAGAAGCAGCCAUCAUUUAAAGAAAGCGUAAUAGCUCACUGGUCGAGUCGGCCUGCGCGGAAGAUGUAACGGGGCUAAACCAUGCACCGAAGCUGCGGCAGCGACACUGUGUGUUGUUGGGUAGGGGAGCGUUCUGUAAGCCGUUGAAGGUGUCCUGUGAGGGGUGCUGGAGGUAUCAGAAGUGCGAAUGCUGACAUAAGUAACGAUAAAGCGGGUGAAAAGCCCGCUCGCCGGAAGACCAAGGGUUCCUGUCCAACGUUAAUCGGGGCAGGGUGAGUCGACCCCUAAGGCGAGGCCGAAAGGCGUAGUCGAUGGGAAACGGGUUAAUAUUCCCGUACUUGGUGUUACUGCGAAGGGGGGACGGAGAAGGCUAUGUUGGCCGGGCGACGGUAGUCCCGGUUUAAGCGUGUAGGUGUGUGUUCCAGGUAAAUCCGGUUCACUUUAACACUGAGGCGUGAUGACGAGGCACCACGGUGCUGAAGCAACAAAUGCCCUGCUUCCAGGAAAAGCCUCUAAGCAUCAGGUAACAUCAAAUCGUACCCCAAACCGACACAGGUGGUCAGGUAGAGAAUACCAAGGCGCUUGAGAGAACUCGGGUGAAGGAACUAGGCAAAAUGGUGCCGUAACUUCGGGAGAAGGCACGCUGACACGUAGGUGAAGUGAUUUACUCAUGGAGCUGAAGUCAGUCGAAGAUACCAGCUGGCUGCAACUGUUUAUUAAAAACACAGCACUGUGCAAACACGAAAGUGGACGUAUACGGUGUGACGCCUGCCCGGUGCCGGAAGGUUAAUUGAUGGGGUCAGCGCAAGCGAAGCUCCUGAUCGAAGCCCCGGUAAACGGCGGCCGUAACUAUAACGGUCCUAAGGUAGCGAAAUUCCUUGUCGGGUAAGUUCCGACCUGCACGAAUGGCGUAAUGAUGGCCAGGCUGUCUCCACCCGAGACUCAGUGAAAUUGAACUCGCUGUGAAGAUGCAGUGUACCCGCGGCAAGACGGAAAGACCCCGUGAACCUUUACUAUAGCUUGACACUGAACAUUGAGCCUUGAUGUGUAGGAUAGGUGGGAGGCUUUGAAGCGUGGACGCCAGUCUGCGUGGAGCCGACCUUGAAAUACCACCCUUUAAUGUUUGAUGUUCUAACGUGGACCCGUAAUCCGGGUUGCGGACAGUGUCUGGUGGGUAGUUUGACUGGGGCGGUCUCCUCCUAAAGAGUAACGGAGGAGCACGAAGGUUGGCUAAUCCUGGUCGGACAUCAGGAGGUUAGUGCAAUGGCAUAAGCCAGCUUGACUGCGAGCGUGACGGCGCGAGCAGGUGCGAAAGCAGGUCAUAGUGAUCCGGUGGUUCUGAAUGGAAGGGCCAUCGCUCAACGGAUAAAAGGUACUCCGGGGAUAACAGGCUGAUACCGCCCAAGAGUUCAUAUCGACGGCGGUGUUUGGCACCUCGAUGUCGGCUCAUCACAUCCUGGGGCUGAAGUAGGUCCCAAGGGUAUGGCUGUUCGCCAUUUAAAGUGGUACGCGAGCUGGGUUUAGAACGUCGUGAGACAGUUCGGUCCCUAUCUGCCGUGGGCGCUGGAAGACUGAGGGGGGCUGCUCCUAGUACGAGAGGACCGGAGUGGACGCAUCACUGGUGUUCGGAUUGUCAUGCCAAUGGCACUGCCCGGUAGCUAAAUGCGGAAAAGAUAAGUGCUGAAAGCAUCUAAGCACGAAACUUGCCCCGAGAUGAGUCUUCCCUGAGACUUUGAGUCUCCUGAAGGAACGUUAAAGACGAUGACGUUGAUAGGCCGGGUGUGUAAGCGCAGCGAUGCGUUGAGCUAACCGGUACUAAUGAACCGUGAGGCUUAACCUU
rnacentral:rRNA from 1 species